GUGAUUGUGAAUCGUUGCCUUCAGUGCUGGCUGGCUCCAGCAAGUGCACGUUGGUGACUUUCAUCCAAAUACCCUUGUGAACCUUUGGCCUCUUGCUGGCUUCGGCUGACAGAGGAUUUUACACAAACUGAAAUGUAAUGAUAAACUGUUGUGUGCAUAUGCACUACUAAUA
rnacentral:misc_RNA from 1 species